UGGGUAACUGCCUGUAAGACUGGGAUAACUCCGGGAAACCGGAGCUAAUACCGGAUAGUUCUUGAACCGCAUGGUUCAAGGAUGAAAGACGGUUUCGGCUGUCACUUACAGAUGGACCGCGGCGCAUUAGCUAGUUGGUGAGGUAACGGCUCACCAAGGCGACGAUGCGUAGCCGACUGAGAGGGUGAUCGGCCACACUGGGACUGAGACACGGCCCAGACUCAUACGGGAGGCAGCAGUAGGGAAUCUUCCGCAAUGGACGAAAGUCUGACGGAGCAACGCCGCGUGAGUGAUGAAGGUUUUCGGAUCGUAAAGCUCUGUUGUUAGGGAAGAACAAGUGCAAGAGUAACUGCUUGCACCUUGACGGUACCUAACCAGAAAGCCACGGCUAACUACGUGCCAGCAGCCGCGGUAAUACGUAGGUGGCAGCGUUGUCCGGAAUUAUUGGGCGUAAAGGGCUCGCAGGCGGUUUCUUAAGUCUGAUGUGAAAGCCCCCGGCUCAACCGGGGAGGGUCAUUGGAAACUGGGAAACUUGAGUGCAGAAGAGGAGAGUGGAAUUCCACGUGUAGCGGUGAAAUGCGUAGAGAUGUGGAGGAACACCAGUGGCGAAGGCGACUCUCUGGUCUGUAACUGACGCUGAGGAGCGAAAGCGUGGGGAGCGAACAGGAUUAGAUACCCUGGUAGUCCACGCCGUAAACGAUGAGUGCUAAGUGUUAGGGGGUUUCCGCCCCUUAGUGCUGCAGCUAACGCAUUAAGCACUCCGCCUGGGGAGUACGGUCGCAAGACUGAAACUCAAAGGAAUUGACGGGGGCCCGCACAAGCGGUGGAGCAUGUGGUUUAAUUCGAAGCAACGCGAAGAACCUUACCAGGUCUUGACAUCCUCUGACAACCCUAGAGAUAGGGCUUUCCCUUCGGGGACAGAGUGACAGG
rnacentral:rRNA from 1 species